UAUAAGGGAUUUUGAGUUUUUACUUGCAACGUUUGACCACUCGUCUUAUUCAAAUUUUUUUAAAACUAUUAUUUAUUUUAUUUGUGACUUACUUUAUUAUCUACAGAACUUUAAGCACAACUUUUCGUCUUUUAUAUUUGAAAAAAAUUUUGAAUAAGACGAGUGGUUAAACGUUACAAUCAAAAACUCAAAAUCUCUUAUA
rnacentral:pre_miRNA from 1 species